rnacentral:rRNA from 1 species
UACGUAGGUGGCGAGCGUUGUCCGGAUUUAUUGGGCGUAAAGCGCGCGCAGGUGGUGCGGUAAGUCUGUCGUGAAAUCUCCUGGCUCAACUGGGAGGGUGCGGUGGAGACUGCCGGACUGGAGGCACUCAGAGGCCGGUGGAAUUCCCGGUGUAGUGGUGAAAUGCGUAGAGAUCGGGAGGAACACCAGUGGCGAAGGCGGCCGGCUGGGGGUGACCUGACGCUGAGGCGCGAAAGCGUGGGGAGCAAACAGG